AUUGAACGCUGGCGGCAGGCCUAACACAUGCAAGUCGAACGAAUGGCGGACGGGUGAUAUAUGUCCGGGAAACGGCCUGAGGGAGAGGGAUAAGUACGGGAAACGGUAGCCAAUACCGCAUACCAUGGGAUGUGCCCAGAUGGGAUUAGCUAGGCGGUUGGGGAAAGGCUCACCUCGGCGACGAUCCCGAGCUGGGCUGAGAGGAUGACCAGCCAACAUGGAACUGAGACACGGCCCAGACUCCGACGGGAGGCAGCAGGGGGGAAUAUUGGACAAUGGGCGAAAGCCUGAUGCAGCCAUGCCGCGUGUAUGAAGAAGGCCUUCGGGUUGUAAAGUACUUUCAGCGGGGAGGCGUUACUCGCAGAAGAAGCACCGGCUAACUCCGUGCCAGCAGCCGCGGUAAUAC
rnacentral:rRNA from 1 species